rnacentral:rRNA from 1 species
GAGUUUGAUCCUGGCUCAGAACGAACGCUGGCGGCGUGCCUAACACAUGCAAGUCGAACGUGAUUGAGGAGCUUGCUCCUCAUGAAAGUGGCGCACGGGUGAGUAACGCGUAGAUAAUCUACCUGAUGAUCCGGGAUAACACUUCGAAAGGGGUGCUAAUACCUGAUAAGCCCACGGGGUCUUCGGACUCUGCGGGAAAAGGGGGGGACCUUAGGGCCUUCCGUCAUCAGAUGAGUCUGCGUACCAUUAGCUAGUUGGUAGGGUAAAGGCCUACCAAGGCGACGAUGGUUAGCUGGUCUGAGAGGAUGAUCAGCCACACUGGAACUGAGACACGGUCCAGACUCCUACGGGAGGCAGCAGUGGGGAAUUUUGCGCAAUGGGGGAAACCCUGACGCAGCAACGCCGCGUGAGUGAUGAAGGCCCUUGGGUCGUAAAGCUCUGACAGAGGGAGAGAAGUGUAGAGUGGCUAAUAUCCACAUUACUUGACGGUACCCUCAAAGGAAGCACCGGCUAACUCCGUGCCAGCAGCCGCGGUAAUACGGGGGGUGCAAGCGUUGUUCGGAUUUAUUGGGCGUAAAGCGCGUGUAGGCGGUUUUAUAAGUCUGAUGUGAAAGCCCUGGGCUCAACCCGGGAAGUGCAUUGGAUACUGUAAGACUUGAAUACGGGAGAGGACAGUGGAAUUCCUAGUGUAGGAGUGAAAUCCGUAGAUAUUAGGAGGAACACCGGUGGCGAAGGCGGCUGCCUGGACCGAUAUUGACGCUGAGACGCGAAAGCGUGGGUAGCAAACAGGAUUAGAUACCCUG